AGAUUGAACGCUAGCGGGAUGCUUUACACAUGCAAGUCGAACGGCAGCGCGGACUUCGGUCUGGCGGCGAGUGGCGAACGGGUGAGUAAUAUAUCGGAACGUGCCCAGUAGCGGGGGAUAACUACGCGAAAGCGUGGCUAAUACCGCAUACGCCCUACGGGGGAAAGGGGGGGAUCGCAAGACCUCUCACUAUUGGAGCGGCCGAUAUCAGAUUAGCUAGUUGGUGAGGUAAAGGCUCACCAAGGCGACGAUCUGUAGCUGGUUUGAGAGGACGACCAGCCACACUGGGACUGAGACACGGCCCAGACCUCCUACGGGAGGCAGCAGUGGGGAAUUUUGGACUAAGUGGGGG
rnacentral:rRNA from 1 species